rnacentral:rRNA from 1 species
UACGUAGGGGGCUAGCGUUGUCCGGAAUCAUUGGGCGUAAAGCGCGUGUAGGCGGUCCGGUAAGUCCGCUGUGAAAGUCGGGGGCUCAACCCUCGAAUGCCGGUGGAUACUGUCGGGCUAGAGUACGGAAGAGGCGAGUGGAAUUCCUGGUGUAGCGGUGAAAUGCGCAGAUAUCAGGAGGAACACCUAUUGCGAAGGCAGCUCGCUGGGACGUAACUGACGCUGAGACGCGAAAGCGUGGGGAGCAAACAGG